CCCUUAGAUGUUCUGGGCCGCACGCGUGCUACACUGAGUGGAUCAGCGGGCCAGGUUGCGCGAGAGUGUUUCCUAAUCUUUAAAUCCGCUCGUGAUGGGGAUUGACGGUUGCAAUUUUCCGUCAUGAACGAGGAAUACCUUGUAAGCGCGGGUCAUCAUCCCGCGCUGAAUACGUCCCUGCCCUUUGUACACACCGCCCGUCGCUCCUACCGAUUGAGUGGUCCGGUGAGGCUUUGGGAUCUGGGCGGAAAGAGCGUUUCGCUGUUUCUGCCCGGAAAACUCAGUCGAACCUUAUCAUUUAGAGGAAGGAGAAGUCGUAACA
rnacentral:rRNA from 1 species